ACGGGGGGAGGAAAGUAGGGGAUCGCAAGACCCUUCGCUUUCGGAGUGGCCGAUAUCAGAUUAGCUAGUUGGUGAGGUAAAGGCUCACCAAGGCGACGAUCUGUAGCGGGUCUGAGAGGAUGAUCCGCCACACUGGGACUGAGACACGGCCCAGACUCCUACGGGAGGCAGCAGUGGGGAAUUUUGGACAAUGGGGGCAACCCUGAUCCAGCCAUGCCGCGUGAGUGAAGAAGGCCUUCGGGUUGUAAAGCUCUUUCAGCCGGAAAGAAAUCGCCACUCCUAAUACGAGUGGUGGAUGACGGUACCGGAAGAAGAAGCACCGGCUAACUACGUGCCAGCAGCCGCGGUAAUACGUAGGGUGCGAGCGUUAAUCGGAAUUACUGGGCGUAAAGCGUGCGCAGGCGGUUUUGUAAGACAGGCGUGAAAUCCCCGGGCUUAACCUGGGAACUGCGUUUGAAACUACAAAGCUAG
rnacentral:rRNA from 1 species